GUGGGAAUGGUCCAAGGAACAGAUCCUGCACUGCAGCACCUUGGGCUCAGUGAGGAGGAGGAAGAACAAAGCUGCGAAGCUGAUGCUGAUAGUGCGCAUCCCAGUGCUCGCCAUCCAUGCAAAAUAAGCAUGGACUUGGAGUGAGCAGAAGGCACGUCCCCCUGGUGAAGAGUGAGAUUUCUGGACUCGUGGGGAUGGAAGUGGUUGGUGCCUUUCUUCUCAUGCUGAACAAGGAACUCAGGGGAGCAGCUAGGACCCCAAAGGAUAGUUUACCGCUUUCUCUCUCUGCCCCGUAGAGUUUGUGUCCAGAGCCUGAAUCAGCAGCCCAGCUUCCCGCUGCAAGGCAGUCCUCGGACUUACGACACAACUGGUUCCUGGAGACCGCAUCUUAAGUCGAAACACU